rnacentral:lncRNA from 1 species
CUGGUAAAGUAGAUUUAUUAAUUUGCUGAAGGCAAAGACAGAGACUGGGAGAAUGUAGAAUGAUACGCUCUAGGAGAGGAGAAAGUCCAAAUCCAUCUAAGGAACCUGAAGGUACACAAGUCCUUGGAACCAGAUGAGAUACAUCAUUUAGCAAUUAGAAAAACAACAGUUUAAUGUUAAGGAUGUGUAAGUUUCAGCUUCUAUGGUUAGAGAGUGCUACCACAGCUGUGAAAGGAAUACUGCAUUUCCAUUAUGGCAACAAAUCUUCACAUAGAGGCUAUUUAAGGACCAUUUUUCAGUAAGGAAUGAAAUUGGCAACAGAAUUAGGAACAUCUAUCUGGACUGGAUUGGCAGCCAUGCACAUCAAUUUUGUAGCUGAAUACAGGUUAAAAGCACAGGAAAAUUAAAUACAUCAAUCUGUAAAAUGUGUUAAAUUAUUUUGCAUAUUUUAUAUAAUAAUUUUUAAAGGUUAAUUGAAACUUGAUGCCUACCACAAAAAUAGAUUACGGGGAACCUGUUAUCUGGAAUCCCUGAUCUCUGCUUUUUUGCUGUAACAUACAAAGACUUACCCAGACACUAAGAAAUGGCAUUCCUUUACAGUUCUUAGCCUUAAGACACAUUUAAGGCAAGUGCAGCUCAUGCAGCUUUGUCACUUUAAAUCCACAGGUUUAGAUCAAUAGUCAGCAAUAGGUGCAUAGAAGGAAGGAAAAGAAAUAGAAGAAAAGCAAAAAAUCCCAAUCUGGAGUAGAGUAUACAUACAGACAUAAAGCCUUAAACACAAUCUAAUCCCUAGAAAAUUAAUCAAAUCACACUAAAAAGAGAAUGUGCCAUCUCCAGCAUCCUUGGGGGCAAAGGAAAUCACUCAGUGACUCUCCAAGUGGGAUGCAUAGAAUAAUGAGAUAUUCAUCUAUGAAAUCUUUUGUCUUGAACUCCACCAUUGUCUCUGGAUGCCUUUCAGUCUAUAGAAGAUUAUUAUAAAUGCAUGUCUGACAAAUUUUCUAGUGACCAAGCAUCACUGAAGUUUGCAACUGUCAUAAGGUUGCAACCACACAACCCUCACAGAUUCAGUUAAAUGAAGUUCCUAGUAAGCUGCAUCAUGACCCAAAUUUAAUUUUGAAAAAUUCAUGCUAGUAGCUAAAAAAAAAUUUCUUAGUUGGACAGCUGCCAUCUAAAUUAUUAAAAUCUCUGUUUUGAAAAGAAAUAUAUUAGUGAAAGAAGUAUGAGAUUGCAUAAAUAUACUGAACAAUCAUAUCAUGUGUUCAUGAUCAAGCUUUAUAAUGUGUUAAAGCUACAUAUACACAUUAACCCACAUGGUCUUACACAGAAAAACUGGCAGCUUUCCUGGUCUCUGUUUUAUUUCAUUUUAUUGUAAAGAGUGCAAAUUGAUGGUAUUUUGGCUAUUUGUUCCCUUACAGACAGAAUUACACAUUUUCACAUUCCACAUCAGAAGCUCAUAAAAACAUCUUUCUUAUUUUCUUUCUGAAGCAUCAGUGCUGAUAGUAAAGACUCUAUUUAUGAAUAAUAUUAAGAAAAUCAGUGUGUAGGCUUUGUCAGUCAACACCCUCAGGGAAACAUCUCUCCUAUCCUAAAAAUGACCAUAUUUUUUCAGUAUACCCACACAGUAUGUGGAAAUCUUCUAAAGUUGAGUUGAUUCUCUGAAUCAAUUGAACAUAUAUGUGUUGUGAACCACUUUUCUUAGCAGUUCUAAAAAGCAAAGCAAAAUAAAAACUCCCUACAAUUAAAAAUGAUGGAUUAAAAUCAUCAUACUUUAAAAGAGGAUUGUUAAAAGGGAAUUAAUGGUAGGAAUUAUCAAGGGGUGGGGGAAGAAAAUAUAUAAAUAAAUAUAUCAAGUAAAAGGUAGCACCAUUAGAAAUCACUGUGCAGUAGUUCUCUGUAGGAAGGUCUGAGAGCCCAGCACUCUCAUUCUUACUGAACUGAGACUUCUGUUAUACAGGAAGUUAAUCACUUAGGCAGAUCAGCAAAAUGCUUCCUUUCUGUCUCAGAGACAUUGCAUUCAAUUUUUCUGUUGUGUAGAAGAGAAAAAUUCUUUGUAAAACACAGUUUGCCGCUGUCAAAGCCAAGGAAGCUCUUAGAAAGUGAGAUAAUGAGCUGGAAUUUCUUUAUGCCAAGGACCAAAAUAUUGAAUAAGCUCUCUAACCUUUAGGUUGUUGUGUGAGACUCUUCAGCUGUGUUUUCUUAAUAGAUCGGCAGCUUGCCUAUAUUUUACAUUUAACACCUGAGAACUGCUUUGUGAAUUGGUACUGAACAAGCUGCUCAGAAUAGCUUAACACUUGGGGAAACAUAAAGACUUUGAAUCCUAUUUGGCUGUAAGCAUGGGUUAAUAGAAUGAUAUACUAGAUUUCUCUGAGAUUAUAAUGCUGCUUGGCAUACAGAAAGGGAAAACUUUUGGCUCCUGGUAAAAUUUAAUGUAUAAAGUACAGAAAUAAAAAUCAUGGGAUUGUAGUUUGAGAGCUGAGUGCAUCCACUGGUUCCCUGCAUCUGAGAACAGGCAUUAAUUUAGCUUCAAAUGCAGUCCUGAAUGGAGCUGAAAAUAGUCUUUGUGCCAAUCCACUUGAAAACAGAGCAUUGCAGGGUGCAUUAGAAUCUUCUCUAGAGAUCUGUAAUAGAGAAGUCAAGAUGGUGCUGUGUGGAAGAGAGGGGCAAGGCUCUGGGUAUGGGUACAAAUAAAAAUUACAGAAGAUCAGUAAGAAUGCCACCUAUGCUACUGAGUCAGAAAUUCUACCAUACACUUGCGUGCACUUUCUCAUGAUGCCUAGACCAGGAGACAAAGCCUUGAUAAUUCACUGGGGUGGAAUGGAAACAGCACUUACAGCUUGCUCCUAAAAGGCACAAAAAACCUGUAUAAAAAGUUAUUAAAUGCUUUUCAACCUAAAACCACUAGAGAAGCAGACUUCUAAGAUAGUAUUUUCUGCCUUAUAUCUCACCUAAGGAUUCAUGUAAGAACUGAGUGGAGACAGAAAACAUGUAUGGUUUUUUGCGCUAGACUGCCAGAUGCAUGUAUCUCAGUCCUUAUGAGUUUUUCCUUAGGAAACGAAAAGCUUGCAUGCAACUUUGCUGCAACACUGCAAUGGGUUUUCCUUUACUAUUUUUGUGGAAUCUAACAUUUUUCUUAAAAUUGUUCACAUGGAAAUCUUCACUGCAACAGGGGCUUCUUGCCCAUAUGGUCAGCAAUGCUCCCAUCUGUUCUUUGACCGGAUACAUUCAGUCUUUUUCUAGCCACUCUUAUAGUUUCUCAAGUGGCCAGAGAGAGAUCUUGCAAGAAUCUUCAUUUUGCCCUGAGCAGCAGCUACUGAGGAGACAGAGGAACAUCUUCUUAGGGCACAAAAGCUUCUUCAGCUAAAAGCUGAAAUAAAACUCUAUCAGGCAGAAUACAAACAAAAGCUUCUCUGGUACCAAGACAAGGCCAGCAACACUGACUGACACCUGAAGCCUCCUUCUUUGUCCCCUUUCUCAUGUUCUCCAAGACAAAGACUAUUAAAAUUUAGCCAAGCACACCUAUGCAUAUCCAGGAGAUUAGCAGCUUUUUGUGCAUGCUCCUCCAAUUGCUAGUGCCCUCUUCAGUGCUGGAAUACAAGACUCAGUAUUUUACUGAGUUAACUCAGUUUUACAACUAUUUUCACAAUAACCAGAAACUUAAAAAGUAAAACAAGGCUCCAAAUAGAGAGCCUUCUGGAUGUGCUUGAGAUAAUUAAAAAAUUACACUUAAAUUUCUGAGCAUCAGUGGUGCUUUUUAGUGCCUUAUUUUAGAUUUUAUGUGCCUGAGCAUGAGAGUAGAUAGUCACUCAUGUUUAUCAUGCAGAGUAAUACAAUAUUUAACUCUUGCUAAAAUUAUAGUUCUUACAUCACAAAAAAAAAAUUAAAUCCAAAAAUCCCCAACAUCUCCCAUAAGAUUUCUUUGAAAACUUCUGCUUUUUUUGCAUCUUAUGGACUUUAAAAGUCUUUGGGAAAACAUUUCAAGUACACUGCUCUGAUUUUGAACUGUUUUACAGCACCCACCCUGAAACAUUUCUUCCUCACCAGUGCAGUGCAUCAAAACUCCUUGGAAGUGUAAAAGCAAGAUUUUUGAUAAUUAAAAAAAAAUCCUUCGCUUCUGAAGGAAAAGCAAAAAUAAAAUUCUAAAUUAUAGGUUAUCAAAGCCUCAGCUGGGACUGAGGCUUUCUAUAGCUAAACAGAAUGGUUUGACUGUCUUCAACAUGAAAAAAUAAUAAAUGCCCACAGAGACACAAUUCUGACCAUGGCAUAGGAAAAUUACUGCAAACUUAUUAAGGAAGAAAAAAGUCAGACACAGCUAAGUAUUUACAAUUCAUGAACAAACACAGUUAUUUAAGUAGCCCAUAUAAUUUCUGUCGGCAGUCAUCACUUUGCAACAACCUCACCUCUGGUAUGCCCCAAGCACUUAAACACUUAUCAGGAUUAGGCUGGGUCAGGCACUUAGAAGUAAGUUUGUCAAAGCACAGCACCUAGAGGCUGCUGGCUGAUUGUAGCUCAUUUCUCUAUUAAGAAACAAUACUGCACAAGGUGGUUAAACAGUUGUACUAAUCUUGGCAAUAAAUUGCAAACAACAUGGGAAGCACCUGAGCUCACUGAAAUUCUGCAACACUUACACAAUGGAGAUGCUCAGGCUUCUGGCCCUCAGAAAUUUCCACCUGAAAUAAAUUAACCUUCAUGAGCACCACUGCUAAUAAUCUCAGCAGGGGCUAAGGAUUGUUUGUAGAGCAGCUCUCCAAAGCUUGCCUUCACUUCAAAGGCAUGCCAGUGCAUGACAGAGUAGAAUUUUUCCUCAGUGUAAAUAUUUUACUUUAUCCAAAUUUGCAUUCAAUAUUUUUAUUCAUUACAUACAUACAAGUAUAUAUGAAUAUAAUUCCAUUAGAUGUUGUUGGAUGGUCACAUCUUUCCACAGUAAUUCUCUCUCUAAAGAUGUUCUUUCUCUGGAUUCACUCUCCUA